rnacentral:rRNA from 1 species
UACGUAGGAUGCAAGCGUUGUCCGGAUUUACUGGGCGUAAAGCGCGCGCAGGCGGCACUCUAAGUACGUCGUGAAAUAUCCCGGCUCAACCGGGAGGGUGCGAUGUAGACUAGGGAGCUAGAGGUCGGUAGAGGGGGGUGGAAUUGCUGGUGUAGCGGUGAAAUGCGUAGAGAUCAGCAGGAACACCCGUGGCGAAGGCGGCCCCCUGGGCCGUACCUGACGCUGAGGCGCGAAGGCUGGGGGAGCAAACAGG